rnacentral:rRNA from 1 species
UACGGAGGGUGCAAGCGUUAAUCGGAAUUACCGGGCGUAAAGCGCGCGUAGGCGGUUUUUUAAGUCGGAUGUGAAAGCCCCGGGCUCAACCUGGGAACUGCAUCCGAUACUGGAAGACUAGAAUGCGGGAGAGGGAGGUAGAAUUCCAUGUGUAGCAGUGAAAUGCGUAGAUAUAUGGAGGAAUACCAGUGGCGAAGGCGGCCUCCUGGCUCGACAUUGACGCUGAGGUGCGAAAGCGUGGGGAGCAAACGGG